UAAUAGACUACCCCGGUAGUCCACGCCCUAAACGACUGCGAACUGGAUGUUGGGUACAUUACGGUACGUCAGGUGUCGAAGCUAACGCGUUAAGUUCGCCGCCUGGGGAGUACGGUCGCAAGACUGAAACUCAAAGGAAUUGACGGGGGCCCGCACAAGCGGUGGAGUAUGUGGUUUAAUUCGAUGCAACGCGAAGAACCUUACCUGGCCUUGACAUCUGUCGAAUCCUGCAGAGAUGCGGGAGUGCCGCAAGGAACGACAAGACAGGUGCUGCAUGGCUGUCGUCAGCUCGUGUCGUGAGAUGUUGGGUUAAGUCCCGCAACGAGCGCAACCCUUGUCCCUAGUUGCCAGCACGUAAUGGUGGGAACUCUAGGGAGACUGCCGGUGACAAACCGGAGGAAGGUGGGGAUGACGUCAAGUCCUCAUGGCCCUUACGGCCAGGGCUACACACGUACUACAAUGGUCGGUACAGAGGGUUGCGAAGCCGCGAGGUGGAGCCAAUCCCAGAAAACCGAUCCCAGUCCGGAUCGGAGUCUGCAACUCG
rnacentral:rRNA from 1 species